GAUAAACGCUGGCGGCAUGCCUAAUACAUGCAAGUCGAACGCACCAGCAAUGGUGAGUGGCGAACGGGUGAGUAACACGUAAGUAACCGACCCCAAAGACGAGGAUAACGGUUGGAAACGACCGCUAAAACUGGAUAGGACGAGAGAGCAAAAGUUUUCUCGUUUAAAGGUCCUGCAAGGGACUGUUUUGGGACGGGCUUGCGGCGCAUUAGCUAGUUGGUGAGAUAAUAGCCCACCAAGGCGACGAUGCGUAGCUGCGCUGAGAGGCGGAACAGCCACACUGGGACUGAGACACGGCCCAGACUCCUACGGGAGGCAG
rnacentral:rRNA from 1 species